UACGUAGGGCGCAAGCGUUGUCCGGAAUUAUUGGGCGUAAAGAGCUCGUAGGCGGUUUGUCGCGUCUGUCGUGAAAGCUUGGGGCUUAACCCCAAGUCUGCGGUGGAUACGGGCAGACUAGAGGCAGGUAGGGGAGAACGGAAUUCCCGGUGUAGCGGUGAAAUGCGCAGAUAUCGGGAGGAACAUCAGUGGCGAAGGCGACUUCCUGGACCAAUACUGACGCUCAGGUGCGAAAGCGUGGGGAGCAAACAGG
rnacentral:rRNA from 1 species